rnacentral:rRNA from 1 species
UCAAUGGAGAGUUUGAUCCUGGCUCAGGACGAACGCUGGCGGCGUGCUUAACACAUGCAAGUCGAACGGAAAGGCCCCUUCGGGGGUACUCGAGUGGCGAACGGGUGAGUAACACGUGGGCAACCUGCCCUCAGCUUCGGGAUAACACUUGGAAACAGGUGCUAAUACCGGAUAAUAACUUGUCAUCGCAUGGUGGUGGGUUCAAAGUUUUUCGGCUGGGGAUGGGCCCGCGGCCUAUCAGCUUGUUGGUGGGGUAAUGGCCUACCAAGGCGACGACGGGUAGCCGGCCUGAGAGGGCGACCGGCCACACUGGGACUGAGACACGGCCCAGACUCCUACGGGAGGCA